rnacentral:rRNA from 1 species
CCUACGGGUGGCAGCAGUGAGGAAUAUUGGUCAAUGGGCGAGAGCCUGAACCAGCCAAGUCGCGUGAGGGAAGACGGUCCUAUGGAUUGUAAACCUCUUUUGCCGGGGAGCAAAAAGCGGUACGUGUACCGCAUCGAGAGUACCCGGAGAAAAAGCAUCGGCUAACUCCGUGCCAGCAGCCGCGGUAAUACGGAGGAUUCGAGCGUUAUCCGGAUUUAUUGGGUUUAAAGGGUGCGGAGGCGGGUAGUUAAGUCAGGGGUAAAAGUUUGGGGCCCAACCCCCAAAAAGCCGUUGAACUUGGCAUGCUAGAGUGGGCGAGAGGUAUGCGGAAUGCGUGGUGUAGCGGUGAAAUGCAUAGAUAUCACGAAGAACUCCGAUUGCGAAGGCAGCAUAC